UACGUAGGGUGCGAGCGUUAAUCGGAAUUACUGGGCGUAAAGCGUGCGCAGGCGGUUUGUUAAGUCUGAUGCGAAAGCCCCGGGCUCAACCUGGGAACUGCAUUGGAAACUGGCAAGCUCGAGUAUGGCAGAGGGGGGUGGAAUUCCGCGUGUAGCAGUGAAAUGCGUAGAGAUGCGGAGGAACACCGAUGGCGAAGGCAGCCCCCUGGGCCAAUACUGACGCUCAGGCACGAAAGCGUGGGGAGCAAACAGG
rnacentral:rRNA from 1 species